AGCCAUGUUCUCUGUAGCUCUGCUGCUGCUGGCUGCUGGAUCCUGUGUGAGCAGUAUUGAUCUCAUCCAGCCAGACUCAAAGGUUGUGCAGCCUGGACAGUCUCUGACCCUCACCUGUCAGGUCUCUGGUUAUUCUCUGACUGAUACUAGCUAUGCAACAGGAUGGAUCAGACAGCCUGCAGGGAAAGGACUGGAGUGGAUUUCUCAUCAGUGGGGUGAUGGUGCACUUCAGCAAAAUGCUGCUCUGAAGAACAAGUUCAGCUACAGCAGAGACACUUCAGCUGGAACAGUGACUCUAACAGGACAGAACAUGCAGCCUGGAGACUCUGCUGUGUAUUACUGUGCCAGAGACCCACAACAACACAAACCAUCUGUAGAGCUGAACAAAAACCCCUCAGAGCCUGAACACCUGUGACAUGAAGCCACCAGAGGAGGAGCCCUCAGACCAACAAUGAUCAAACUAUGAAAAACUGUUGUUGGUUGGAGGAUGCAUUACAAACAUGAAUCUU